rnacentral:lncRNA from 1 species
CGGAUGUUGCCGACCAUGCCUCAUCCUUCUCUUUUUCGAGCCUUCUUCAUCCUUCGACCUCAUCCGAAGGCUCGAGGGUGGUAGUUCUUCAACCUCUGAAAAGAUCUUUUCUUUAUUACCGAUCUUCCAUCGUCCAUUCAUGGAUGGAAGAACUAAUUUUUCUUUACUUCUUCUUUCCUUCCUUGGGAUUUUUUUUCUCGUUGGGGGGAUCUUCGAACCGGUCCCAACGACAACAGUCAGGUAGAGGUCGACGAUCAAGAGGACUUUCACCGACUGAAAGAUAUGUCGGUGCCGAAGCAAAA